AGAGUUUGAAUCGAUGCUCAAAAUUCUGUGAGAAGUUGUCUACUGAUGAUGUUAGAUUUGUAUCUUUUUCUUUAACAAUACAAUGACAUUGAUAGCUCCACCCAGCUCGCUCCAGGGGGUUGAUAGGGAUAGAUUUUGUGUCACUUUCAAUGCCAGUCAAGCAACGGUCAUUGGAUUUUCUCCUUACGGAACAAAUAAGAGCAAAUUUAACCAAUUUGGUGAAGAAGGUAUUAAGAACUUGACAUCGGUCGCGACCCAUGAG
rnacentral:lncRNA from 1 species